rnacentral:lncRNA from 1 species
AGAUCCCUGAGGAUCCCAGACACCCAGGGAUCUCAGAUCCCUGAGGAUCCCAGACACCCAGGGAUCUCAGAUCCCUGAGGAUCCCAGACACCCAGCUUUAAGUAUAAGGAACUAGUAGUAGGUUUAUUCCAUGCUAAAAAGAGAAGAGAUAAAACACAACAUUUCGGCUGUGAAUAAACCUAUUACUUGCAGAAUACGCAUGCCGACGCAGCUGCCCACCUGAACUGGUUUAAAUAUAAGGGCCCAUUUCAUUCCCCGCUGAAGUGCUGCUCCUCUUGGGGGGCCCAGCAGCCCUGCUGCCCAGCAGAUCAGGGGGAGGGGUGAGAAACUGCAGCGCCAAUUGAAUCAAGGGGGGGGGGGGACAAAGCGUGCAAGCGCCACCUACUGGUCCACCAGCACCACUUCCCGUAAUAAUUGAGCUUUCCUCAGUAGUUUCUCAUCCCAGGUCAGGCUCACGUUUUCCUUAGCUCCUGAUCAGACUGCAAGCUAGGAGCACUGGACUUCACAGGUAUGAGAACGUAAGACAGGCUACAAAGCGGCUUAGUCUGAGUGCUGUCAUCAUGCAGCCUUUCUCGAGAUCUAGGAAAUUAUUUGGGCAAAUUAGAGAAAAAAGUGCAGGAAAAUGAGCCCCAGACCUGUGAAGUCUCGGCAGGGGAAUAUGUCCUCGUGAUCUGUGUUGUCCAGAUGGUGGUGAGUAACAUCCUAGUAUAGACAAGCACCUCAAUCCCUGACACCCCAGCAGCUCCUCCCCCACCUCCCCAGACAAGAAGAGGAAAUCGGCUCACGGGUUUUCAAAAGUCGCCCGGUUCACACCACUGUUCGGCCAGCCUGAAACCCAGACAUCUCCCUUUCCUGCUCCCAGAUCAGUGUGCUGCAGUCAGAGCUGGAGACCCUGUCGACCCAGACAGCCUCCCUCAGAGAAGAGACGCGCUUGCUGAGGGAGCAGAUCCAGGACGUCAGGAAACAGCAUCGGGACAUAGUUUCAGUGUACAGGACUCACCUGCUGAGCGCAGCACAGGGAAUGAUGGACGAGGAGGUCUACUCCAUGCUUCUGUGCAUCCAUGGCAUGCAGAGAGAGGCUGUGUGCUGAGAGACUGACACCAUCCCCACUCCCACAAUGCACUCCUCCAAGUCAGAGCCCACACUUCCCCUUGACCAAUAAGGACUGUGGAAGACAGCAGACGUGCAUGGAGAGGGUACUGUGAUUGAUGGACACUGUGGUCUAAGACAGCAGCAUAUGAAGGCACCCAGAUCCCUGUAUAUGAAGCAGUCCUGACUGAUCACUGUUACCAUGUUUUUCUCCAUAUCAAACUGAAGCCUGUUCACUGUUGUCUCUGGUUUCUCCUUACACUGUGACAUAACCACAAAAAGUGCUGAAAUGUUUGUUCUUCAGAUUAAAUGUCUCACUCUGAUUGGGGGUGAUUGCACUUUGUUUUUCACAUAAUCUAACACUGCUCCAAACUUUUACGUUUUUUGCACGUUUAUCCAUUUCCGUAAAAUAAUUUAAAAUUGCUUUGGAUCAAGUGCAUUCUCAUAUGUUGGCUUCAGGCGUGUUACCCCAGCAUUGUGACCAAAUUCCCCCCCUGGCCCUUACCAAUCACACCCUCCUAAUAACCCCCCUCUCUGAACUGGCUUCUUCACUCUGCUCUCCUCCCCACUGAGAGCUGGUGUGUGGGGAGCGGACUGGCACAUCAUCCAGGUGGGGCUCCACACUGGUGCUGGUGGAGAGGAUCCCCAUUACAUGCAAACUCCAUACAGACAGCACUCCAGGUCUGCCUAUGGCUCGACUGGUAAUCUCUAUAAGAACAUAAUACAUCAAUCCUCUCUGAUUCAGAUGAAAAGAUGCCUGUCUAUAUACAUACUGUAAGCGCUGGCCCUAAAGUAAAGUAAAGUGCUUUGAGUGGAGUGUCCAGAGCUGUUUGAGAAAAGCACUACAUUACUACUGCUGAUGUCUGCCGUUGUGCUCUGCUGCCAACUGCUUGCUUGUCUUGUAAAACACACUCAACUGGUUGUUUGAUGGAGACAUCAAAGAUCAAUCACCAAUUUGAAGUUAUAAAAGGGUGGAUUAUGAUGCAAGAGUGCUGUGCUCCAUGCCCUUGACUUCAUAGUUCUGGUAACAGAGGUCACCUCCAACCGAUAAUGUAUUUGCUACAAAUGAAAGAAAAUACAUUCUGAUUGUGAUUGCACUGGAUAGUUACAUCUCAUUUCCUAUCAGCAA